rnacentral:rRNA from 1 species
UACGUAGGGCGCAAGCGUUGUCCGGAAUUAUUGGGCGUAAAGAGCUCGUAGGCGGUUUGUCGCGUCGGCUGUGAAAUCCUGAGGCUCAACCUCAGGCCUGCAGUCGAUACGGGCAGACUUGAGUGUUGCAGGGGAGACUGGAAUUCCUGGUGUAGCGGUGAAAUGCGCAGAUAUCAGGAGGAACACCGGUGGCGAAGGCGGGUCUCUGGGCAACAACUGACGCUGAGGAGCGAAAGCGUGGGGAGCGAACAGG